GAUGAACGCUGGCGGCGUGCCUAAUACAUGCAAGUCGAGCGAACAGACGAGGAGCUUGCUCCUCUGACGUUAGCGGCGGACGGGUGAGUCACACGUGGAUAACCUACCUAUAAGACUGGGAUAACUUCGGGAAACCGGAGCUAAUACCGGAUAAUAUAUUGAACCGCAUGGGUCAAUAGUGAAAGACGGUUUUGCUGUCACUUAUAGAUGGAUCCGCGCCGCAUGAGCUAGUUGGUAAGGUAACGGCUUACCAAGGCGACGAUGCGUAGCCGACCUGAGAGGGUGGUAGGCCACACGGGAGCUGGGACACGGUCCAGACUCCUAAGGGAGGCAGCAGUAGGGAAUCGUCCGCAAUGGGCGAAAGCCUGACGGAGCAACGCCGCGUGAGUGAUGAAGGUCUUCGGAUCGUAAAACUCUGUUAUUAGGGAAGAACCAAUGUGUAAGUAACUAUGCACGUCGUGACGGUACCUAAUCAGAAAGCCACGGCUAACUACGUG
rnacentral:rRNA from 1 species